GUAUCAUCUGAUGUUACAAACGAAAGGCGCACCAGAGGCUUUACACGUCCUUGAAACGGACCGUAAAAUGUUCGAAAACAGAUUGAAUAACUGCAUACACGCAUUUGGAGAAGGCUCAACCUAUUAUACUCACGUUGCUUACGAAAUCGCUCAGCGAAAGGAAAACAUAAAAGAUUAUAUCGAUGUCUUAACCGGUCACUGAUGAACUAGAAGCCAGGCUAAUACGUCAGCAUCAGGGAAUAUAUCCUUUGUCUCUUGACGGAUCAUAUUUACAUAUUAUUUUGUUAUUUACAUGAUACUUUACGGAAUAUUUAGGUAUUGUGCUAAUUUUUAUUUGGUGUUUAAUAAGUGCACGAUUUCAUUAAUGUUAUGUUCCGUAGUGAGCUAUAUAACAUUGUUACAUAAUUAAUGAUACCAUCCAAUCAGUUGUAGUCAUUCGUUCCACGUGACCGUCAAAUAUUGUGUCCGUAUUGCUCGUGCGUUCGUCCAAUAUAUUCAUUGAGAACGGCCCAAGUUAAAAAUAAUUGUAAAAAUAUUUAACUCACAACGUCUAUGUAAUCGUACAAAUAUAUCACCCUUUUAUACACAUUGCUGUUAAAUAACCUAGUAUUAUUGGUUAAAUAUUGUGAGCUGAAAAUUGUAUACUCUUACUUGAAGUGAAAAAAAAACAUACCCGAUAUAUUGUAUUCCUGUUUAAAUAUUGUUCUGAAUAAUACCGAAUAAAUGUAACAUUAUUGGUGUAAAAUUCAUUAUUCAGCAUAAUCAUCUGGCAACAGAUGUCCUCCAUUUCUUCAUUUGAAAUGUGUAUUGUUAACUUCCGUAAUAAUAA